rnacentral:rRNA from 1 species
UACGGAGGGUGCAAGCGUUAAUCGGAAUUACUGGGCGUAAAGCGCACGCAGGUGGCUGAGUCAGUCGAUUGUGAAAGCCCUGGGCUUAACCUGGGAAUUGCAGUCGAUACUACUCAGCUAGAGUAUGGGAGAGGGUAGUGGAAUUCCCGGUGUAGCGGUGAAAUGCGUAGAUAUUCGGAAGAACACCAGUGGCGAAGGCGGCUCACUGGACUGGUAUUGACGCUGAGGUGCGAAAGCGUGGGGAGCAAACAGG